GUGAAGAGGUAAUCACUUACGCUGAUCCAACAUUCUACAAAAGAAAAGCACAGAGUGCUAAACAGGAAGAUGAUGUGUAUACGCUUGUGUUGUUCACAAACGUGAAUUAAAUCCUCAUUAAUUGAAUGUUUCCUCAUUAAUGAUGUUCUGAUCACAGUCAGUAGGUUUUCAUGCACACUAGAGGACAUUUGCAACAAUGCUGUUUUAAAUCGAGAAUGGUGUUCAUGAUAACAUCCACUGUGUAGCAGCAGCUUAUGUGUUCAUGCAAAAUAAGCUCCUUACUAGUUUUUUGAAGAGUGCGCAUUAAAAAAAAAAACAAAAACAAAAAAAACCUAAAGUAACAGGUAAAGAGCAUCUAGCAAAUUUCAGAACAAAGCUUUCUGUAACAGCAAUACAAUUAUUUGUUGACUAUUGUGCAUGUAAACUCUGAAAAGCAAUAUUAUAUUUAAUUCAGAAUA